ensembl:lncRNA
AAAAAAACAACUUAACUGAGUAUUGAAAGAGUUUUUUCCAGAGUAGGAAUUCAAGUGAAAACACAUUGAAGCAGCAACAUUUCCAAGUGAUGUGUAAAACCACCAUGAAUUCCUGUGCGUGGGAGGGGGAAAAAGAAAGCCCCAAACCAACUUUCUCUGUCUCCAUUCCAUCCAUGCUCUGUGCCAAGAAGCUCCAUCCCCAGGCAGGAACAGAAACCUCUGGGCUCCACAGAUCCCCAGGGCAGCUCCAAGCGCACCCGUCACAACCAACGCAUGGUGGGAAAUAAAGCAUUUGUUUUCCAUUCAAGAUUGGAAAGAAGAAACAGAGGGAGAAGAAACAAACCCAAGCUGACCAAGUGACUUGGAAAGAAGCCAGCCAAGGGGAGCCCCCAUUUGCUUUUGUUUGCAGAGAACCCAGGGCAAAGCCCCGCUCCAGCUGGGGCAUGUCACCAGCUCCUAAAUCCCUGCCCUCAGCUUCAUUAGCAAGCAGUAGAGAGCAGAACUGCUCACCUGGGCUGGCAGAGGAAUGCAAUCAUGCAUGAGUGCCAUGAUAUCGUAGCAUCAUAAUGCAGAAGUACAACGAUGCAGCACUUCCCCUGCAUGGGGCUUUCCAGGAGCAGGGGCAGCAGAUGCCAUAAAUCGUUCAGCAAAAGGACAGGGAAGCGCCAUAGGAGCCGUUACCUCCUCAGAAGUCAAACAGCACAGAUUAGAAUGGAAACGACUCGGGUGUUUUCGCAGGGCUGGGCAGGGAUUGUUCAAGGCUCAGCAGUUCUCUGAGCUCCGUCUCCAGGUCAUUGAUUUAUUUGCUUCUUUGCCACUUGCAUUGCGUGCUGUGCUGAGGGAGGCUGUGAGGGCUCUGGGGCUGCACCUGGGGGCAAUUUGGGGUGCAGGGAAGGUCCCACAGGGCUGAGAAACCGUAGCUUGAUGGAGCAUGGGGCUGAGCCAAGCAGCGCAAAGCAAUGGCCACACACCGCUGUUGCUUUCCUGCUGAUCCCUGUGCACGUAGGGGGACAAAUGUGCCCAGAUCCUCCCCGAGCGGUGCCAGGGAGGAUGGCAUGGUGUAUAUAAAGACAUACAGAAGAGCAGUGGUUGGCUGCAGGAGCUCAGCAAUUAGAGGUGAUGCUGUUGGGUUUGGCACUGAACUCGGAGAUGCAGUGAAGAUGCUGUGAUGCACCCGGUGCCACUCUGACGUUUGGUUUUUAGGCUUUUUAGCAGCUGGGAUGGAUGGAAGCUGUAGAGCAAAGUGUGCUUUUCUGUCCUACCUGCACCAGGGCCUUGUUGUCAUCAUGCAAAAACAACCAUUCAUACAGCAACAGCCAACUACUGGGGAGCAGUGAGCUGUGCAAGGUGUUGUGCAAGGUCCAGCUUCCAUGUAGGGAGGAAACAAAGAGCAUCUCCUGCUCCCCACUUAAUGCAUCUCAGGGGGGACCUGGCAGUGCCUUACUCUGCUCUGCAACCUCCUGAGCAGGGCCAAAAGCAGAGCCUCCUUCCCAAACCCUGCAGUCCUUUGUAGGGAUGUGUGGCACUGAGCUGUGCGCUGAGCGCACUUUUCUCUUUAUAUUACCCAAAGGAAUGAACUGCUAUUAUGAAAUCAUUAAAUUAAUAACUUGGUAAUAUAGGCAGAUAUAUAAAACAAUCUGUUCCUAGAACAAAAGGAAUUUCCACGUCCCAAACAUCCA